CGCUGGCGGCGUGCUUAACACAUGCAAGUCGAACGAGGACCAUUGGAAGCUUGCGUUCGGGUGAUCCGAGUGGCGGACGGGUGAGUAACGCGUGAGCAACCUGUCUCACACAGGGGGAUAACGCAUCGAAAGAUGUGCUAAUACCGCAUGAGACCACAGAAGGACGUCCUUGAGGGGUCAAAGGAGCAAUCCGGUGUGAGGUGGGCUCGCGUCUGAUUAGAUAGUUGGUGAGGUAACGGCCCACCAAGUCAACGAUCAGUAGCCGACCUGAGAGGGUGAUCGGCCACAUUGGGACUGAGACACGGCCCAGACUCCUACGGGAGGCAGCAGUGGGGAAUAUUGGGCAAUGGGCGCAAGCCCUGACCCAGCAACGCCGCGUGAAGGAAGAAGGUUUUCGGAUCGUAAACUUCUGUCCUUGGUGAAGAGUGAGAGACGGUAGCCAAGGAGGAAGCCCCGGCUAACUACGUGCCAGCCGCGGC
rnacentral:rRNA from 1 species